UGAUUAAGGUGAUAGAGGUGGUGGUGGCGGAUGAUGGUAGCGCUGUCGCUACCGUUACCGUCGUCGCUGUCGCUGCCGGCGGCGACUGUCAAAUCGGCACCGAUUUGAGGUCGAUUUCAAGGGUUUACACAUGGAAGAAGGCACAGUGGGUGGAGGAGGCGGUGGUGGCUGAUUACGGUGAUGAAGGUGGUGGUGGCGGAUGAUGGUGGUUGGUGGUGGUUGUGGCAGUGGCAGUGGUGGCUUGGCGGUGAGAGACGGCUAGGAUGAUGGUUUGUGAUGGAGGUGUUGACAGGCGGUGGUGUUUUAUGGUGGUGGUGGAGAUGAAGGAGAUGGUGGUUACUUUAGAGAGAGAGAAAAGGGUUUGAACUUUGAAGGUGAUGACUGAUGAUGAAGAAUGAAUGUGGUAGGAAUGUUUGGUUUUUAUAUUUUAAGAAAAAAUAUAUAAUUAAUUCAUUUUGUUUUACUUAAGGGUAUUAUAGUCAUUUUACAUCAACUUAACAGAGAAAACAAACUGAAGUUAGACGCA